CGGCGCCCUUGCCCACAUCAGCAGCCAACCUGGUCCUAGCAAAGUCCAGCGGGUAGACAAAGCAAAGGGAGGUGGCCCCAGCGGCCCCACCGGACGCCAGGUUACCCCUCCAGAAGGAGAGGAAGCCCUGCUCCUUAGGGAUUCUCACCACACAAUCAAUGAUCCCUUUGUACUGCUUCUCAGCACUGAUCUGUUUGCUGGCAUGCUGGACCUGGUGGAGGGGAGGGUGGGUGACAGAGGACAGGCAGGGUAGAGAGAAGGGAAGAGGACAGGAGAAAAAAAAAGGUUUGCACUUCCUAGAUUUUUUUUUUGAAGAAAAAAAGGAUGAGGAAAUCAAAUGGAUACUGAGGACGUGUAAAUGGAUACUGUUAUCCAUGUUAGUUACUGGAUAACAAGCCAAAAUAAUCCAAUGUUGCUUCAAUUAUUAGGGUAUUUGAGGGAAAAGGUAUUGCCCCAAAUAAACUGAAAAGGUGAUUGAAUUAUAUAAAGCUAUAGCCAUUUAUUUAUUUCACUUUCCCUAGGUUUGAGAACUGUAUGAGGGGCUUACUGGGGGACAGAAAUGAGUAACACUCCCUGCUUCAAAGGGCUUUGGAUUUAAUAGACAUGAUGGCCAAAAAAUGACAAUUUCUCAGUGUCACUCUGAUCACCCUGGAGAUGAGGAUCUCUACUAGAUGCUCUAAUAGAGGAAGGAGAAUAAAUCCACUAAACAUUAGGCCUCCAAAGUUUUCAAGCAGAUAAUCCAAGUAAUCAAUUAUUAAGGGUUUGCUGCCGUUGUGAGCAAUUUGUGGGGGUUUUGUUGUUAGUAAUUCUGACUCCCAAAUUGGGCUCUUCCUCAUUGAGGGGCCCUGACCUUUUGGGCAGGUGGAGGAAAACACGAGAGGAUGAUAAACCAUUCAGCGACCAGGUAGGGGAGGAAAAGAUUUGGAGACAGGAUGAUCUGAGUUUAUUCCGAAAAUUGUUUCUUAAUAUUUCAAAACCUCAGCUUCAUCUGUAAAAUGGAGAAGAAUAACUCUCUCACAGAGGUUACAUAAAGAUGAAGGCGUCAGCCUACAUACAGCAUUGUGCAUGAGAUACGAUAAGGGAAUUCUUGGGUGAUGAUUAUUUUGAUGUUUUUAUUGUAAAGGUGCGUGCGCAUAAGACGGUGCCAAAAAUACUGGCAAUCACUAGGUGCCUCCGGGCCUGAGUGCACGCCCGUGCUGUCACGGGCGCAGGAUCUGGCACACGUAAACCGGCUCCGGGUGGGUUUCCAUAUAUAGACACCCGAACGCCGGGCGCCACCCGACACCAGGAAUCUGCGACUGACGCUGGACCUGUCUCUACGCAGAGGGCACCUUCUUC
rnacentral:lncRNA from 1 species